rnacentral:misc_RNA from 1 species
AAGUCGUAACAAGGUUUCCGUAGCAUAAGUUAUGGGGCAAUCAGCAAUGAUUCUUCCGCAGUGAAACUUAUAGAAGCCUUUGCAGCCUCGCAAGAGGUCUGUUCCCCGCGACCCUAAACAAUGAGGGCAGCCCGUGGCCUGGAGCCUCGGGUGCAAGUCGGUCACGGCCGGCGACACUUUCGAAUUGCGGGGGAUCCCCUAAAGCCCAGCUCUACCAACCCGGCGAGGAAACUCGGUCGGGGGCUCAUGCUAACACCAUGAGGUGCGGUAAAAAGGAGCUGGGAUACUUCUGCCCUCGGGUGGAGACUAUGGGCAAUCCGCAGCCAAGGCCCUACGGUGUUGCCUGCAGAGGCGGUGCCCACGGGGACAGGUUCACAGACUAAGUGGAAGUGGGUGGGGCCGCCGGCCCUGCUUAAGAUAUAGUCGGGCCUCUGGGGAAACCUAGGGGGGUGAUUCACUGCAUAUGAACCGUUCCGUAGGUGAACCUGCGGAAGGAUCAUUACCGAGUAAGGGUCUCUCAGGCCCGAUCUCCUACCCUAUGUGUACCUACCUCUGUUGCUUUUGGCGGGCCCGCUGGGGCAACCCACCGUCGGCUUCGGCUGCCGAGCGUCCGCCAGAGACCGUCCAAACUCUGUUUAUCAGUGUCGUCUGAGAAAAACACAUAGUUAAA